GAUGAACGCUGGCGGCGUGCCUAAUACAUGCAAGUCGAACGCAUAGCGAAAGGUCCUUGCACCUUUCAAUUGAGUGCCGACGGGUGAGGUAACACUGGGACAACCUCCUUUAAGACUGGGAAUAACAUGUGAAAACAGAGCCUAAUACCGAAUAAAACUUAAUGUCCCAUGUCACAAAGUGAAAAGGCGCUUCGGCGUCACCUAGAGAUGGAUCCGCGCUGCAUUAGUUAGUUGGUAGGGUAAAGGCCUACCAAGACAAUGAUGCAUAGCCGAGAUGAGAGGGUGAUCGGCCACACGGGAACUGAGACACGGUCCAGACUCCUGCGGGAGGGGGCAGUAGGGAAUGUGCGGCAAUGGGCGAAAGCGUAACGGAGAAAGGCGGCGGGAGUGAUGAAGGUCUUCGGAUCGUAAAGCUCUGUUAUUAGGGAAAAACAUAUGUGGAAGUAACUGUGCAGAUCGUGACGGUACCUAAUCAGAAAGCCACGGCUAACUACGUG
rnacentral:rRNA from 1 species